CUCCCUCCCCAUGCAUGCACAGCAGCUGAGUUAUGGCUGCACGCCCACCUUACUGUUUGGUGGCAUGUAAUUUGAAUACAGAUUAGUUGGCCUCAGUGUUCCAGUGCUUUGGCACUACCAUUACUGGGGACAGUAAUUUGACUGAUGAACACAAGGGUUAUCACAAGGUCAUCACCUUCAGCGAGAAUGGGCAGAUUCUGACAGAUUUGUAAUGACAGGCUGUUGAUGUAACACUUGACUGCAAAAUUUUGAAGUUCUGCCCUGGUGGUCUCCAGCUUCACCGGCUCCACCAUGUUUUCCUGCUCCUCCGGCUCCACUGUGUUCUCCAGCACCGCCACCCUUUCCAGUAGUUCUUGGACAGUUUAUAAAAGUACAAUUUGAAGGCACAAGAUCAGAGAAAGGACUCAAAUCACCCGCAGUCAACCAGAGAUCGAGCGUUUACCAGGGCCAUCUUGUCCCGUGUUGACUCACCAACCGGCUGUAUCGCACGACUCAAUGGACGAAGAUUUCCAUGAUUGACUCCUCCUCGUCGUGAACGAAAAGACAACCGGUACUGACAAGAGCCAUGUGAAACAUUCGGGAUUUCUUGCUGAACACACUGAUGAAUUAAACCCCAGGGAUCGCGGCGAAAUAGUACGGCCACUGUCCAACCCAAAACUAGAGUAAUCCAGGCAAGGAUAGUGCGCCAGUAAACUUGCUAAACAUAGCUUUAGCUUGAAUGCAAUUCCUCCCCGCUUUCCUCUCUGUCGGCGGCAUUUCCUCCCAGGGAAAUCCCAUAGCGACCGGCACAAGCAGGCAGGAAUAGACGUUAUAAAAGGUGGAGGUGGACAAUUAAAAUUAGAUCCCCUCAAAGCAGUGCUUGAUAAAACUUCAACUGAGCUCCUUAUAUUAAGGAGCAUUUGACGGUCGUACACUAACAGUGCACGUACAGUAUGAGUCAGAAAGGAGCUUAAACAUAGGACAAACAAAACAGAUAGCAGACAGCCAGCCAUGAACAAUGGCGCCAUCUUGUCCCUUGAACAUCUAUUAUUAUUGUUUGGACCAACCACAAGAACCUUGAGUACAUCUGUUUCGCCAAACAUCUCAAUUCUAGGUAGGCCCAGUGGGUUCAUUUUUCCCCCCGGCCAGUCUCAUAUCAUCCUGUACACCAUUGUCCCUG